UCAAUCUCGCUGUUCAUCGGUCUCUGAGCAUUCUUCGUGCCCUAAGAUUCUAGGGAGGAAAUGGAAAAGUCCCAGUUGCUCCAAUUCAGACUUUGGGACUGGAGCUGAAGCCCCGCCCAUCCUGCCCACCCAGACAGCCAGCAGUGGAAGAGAAGGGAGAAGGGGAGAGAGGCUACCGACUUGGAAAGGCUUCUUCCUUCUUUAGGCUUUUGAUUCGGGGGAGGAAUGAAUGAAUUUUCCUCCUCCUCUUUUAUUUGGUAUAGCGCUAGGUUCCUCCAAACAAUAUGAGAAAUCAAGGAGUUGGGCUGGGGAGCUACAACAGAAAAUAUGAUGCAGGACCAUUGGAAGCCACCAGGAAGUGAGCUUUGGAGGAAUUCUGUUAGCGCAGCAGUGCAGCUUCUCUCUUUCCCCUCAUUCCUACUGAAGACUCAGAGCUCUACUGUCCGGUUCUUCCAGGAGUGUCCAUUCUGGAGGGCCAUGACCAGGAUAAUUUGAAUGGGGGACUUUCUGCUCAUAACUGUGUAGUUACCCGGAGUCCAAGCACCAAGGACAUCAGGACACAAAAGAAUAUUCUAGGGUAGCAAGGUUUCACGAGAUUUCUUUAAUAUGCAGUUGUGGGACUUCUCUCCAGGAGAAGACAGGACCAUCAAAGAGCCAAAUUGGAAAAUAUUUUAGAGGGAAAUCAGGAAAACAAAAUAAAAUGAAGCCCACAGCUCUCAUGGGCAUUAAUAAGCCAGCAGACUGCUCACCUCUCUCUUCUCAGCCCACUACAAUGAGCUCCCUUUUUUCCUCCAAGGUGUUUGAGCUUCUACUGUGUGCCUGGAAUUAUACUGCUGAGAGCCGUGAAUUUUAAGGUGAAAAAGACCCAGGUUAUUUAGAGAGUAGUCCAGGGAGACCGGAAGCCCCACUAGAAGCUGGGAGCCCUAGCAAGACACAGAGACAACAGGCCUGUAGGAGAAUAAACCUGGGCCCAUGCUUUUGUUCAUUCAGCAAGACUUUACUGAACACCUACUCUAUGCAAAGCCUCUGGUUCAGUUCUGUGGUGAAGACAAAAAGAGGUAAGACACAGACACUGCAAGUUUCUCAGCAUCCCUCCCAAACACCUUCUUUUUGCAAGGUAAGCUUGCUGCUGCCUGAACCCCCACACACUGUGUAUCAUAUCCAUUUUGUGUGCAACUUAAUCCCAUUUUUCUCAAAAUUCCUUUCUUUUGUUUCAAAACACGACUACUCGGAUAAGUUUAGUAGUACUCAUUCCUCCUCUUCCUUAAAGGAUAUUUUCAUUGUCAAUGGACAUCUCCCCUGGCACUAAUCCUUAACAGAACCUGUAACAAAAUGAAGACCAAAACUACAGCCUUGUAAGUCGGCACAACUCCCUGAUCUAGGGGGAUGCAUUUCCUUCAUUUCCAAGAAUGUUCAAAGUGCUAAAAGUUAAUUUAAAAGAAAAAAAAAUAGCUGGUUGAACAUUCUCACUCUAAUUCCACUUGUAGGAAAUAAAGAAGGAUAGAAAUUAGCACCUAUCUCAGUGGAGUGUCCUGAGAAAUCACUGUGCGAAGAUACAGAGUGUGAUCUCAGUCAGAAGCUUCUACAAUGAGAUGUUGGAACCAAAUAUAGCCCCAUAAGCAGACUUGGCUUUAAGUGGAAACAAUUGAUCUUACAAUUAAAUUUCUAGGGCUUUUAGAUAAUAGAAAAUCCAAAAUAAUCUUUAUUCAUAUCUUCCACCAAUCUCUUUAGGUUUCAGAAAUCACGGCACUUGACUAUUAUACGGUCUUUUCUAAAGGUACUUGUACAAAACAGUUCCAUUUUCAACCAUUAGGAAAACCUUUUAAUAUAAAAUAGCUUAAGGGAAAUUUUUAAAAAAUUGGGAGCUCAGGUAGCACUGGAAAUGGGACUACAAGCUGAACAAAAUGGAUGGGAAACAAGGAACAACAAUGGAAAGCUGAAUGCAGA